GGACCCGCACAAGCGGUGGAUUAUGUGGUUUAAUUCGACGAUAAACGAGGAACCUUACCUGGGCUCAACUACUAGCUGCAUAUGACCAGAAAUGGACAUAGCCUUCGAGGGUGCUAGAUAGGUGCUGCAUGGUUGCCGUCAGCUCGUGCCGUGAGGUGUACCGUUAAGUCGGGAAACGAGCGCAACCCACGUCGUAUGUUAAAUUGUACAUACGAGACUGCCUGCGUAAGCAGGAGGAAGGAGUGGAUGACGUCAAAUCAGCAUGGCUCUUACGUCCAGGGCUACACACAUAAUACAAUGGCCGGUACAAUGGGUUGCUAAGUCGCGAGAUGGAGCUAAUCCCACCAAAACCGGUCCCAGUUCAGAUUGCAGGCUGCAACUCGCCUGCAUGAAGUUGGAAUCGCUAGUAAACGCAUAUCAGCCACGGUGCGUUGAAUACGUUCUCGGGUCUU
rnacentral:rRNA from 1 species